rnacentral:rRNA from 1 species
UACAGAGGGUGCAAGCGUUAAUCGGAAUUACUGGGCGUAAAGGGCAUGUAGGUGGACUGUUAAGUUUGAUGUGAAAGCCCUGGGCUUAACCUGGGAAUGGCGUUGAAGACUGGCAGACUAGAGUCGAAGAGAGGGUCGUGGAAUUUCCGGUGUAGCGGUGAAAUGCGUAGAGAUCGGAAAGAACACCUGUGGCGAAGGCGGCGACCUGGCUUCAGACUGACACUGAGGUGCGAAAGCGUGGGGAGCAAACAGG